UACGAAGGGGGCUAGCGUUGCUCGGAAUCACUGGGCGUAAAGCGCACGUAGGCGGCUUGUUAAGUCAGGGGUGAAAUCCUGGAGCUCAACUCCAGAACUGCCUUUGAUACUGGCGAUCUCGAGUCCGGGAGAGGUGAGUGGAACUGCGAGUGUAGAGGUGAAAUGCGCAGAUAUCAGGAGGAACACCAAUGGCGAAGGCAGCUCGCUGGGACGUGACUGACGCUGAGACGCGAAAGCGUGGGGAGCAAACAGG
rnacentral:rRNA from 1 species